AGUGAACGCUGGCGGUAGGCCUAACACAUGCAAGUCGAACGGCAGCACAGUAAGAGCUUGCUCUUACGGGUGGCGAGUGGCGGACGGGUGAGGAAUACCUCGGAAUCUACUUUUUCGUGGGGGAUAACGUAGGGAAACUUACGCUAAUACCGCAUACGACCUACGGGUGAAAGCAGGGGAUCUUCGGACCUUGCGCGAUCCAAUGAGCCGAUGUCGGAUUAGCUAGUUGGCGGGGUAAAGGCCCACCAAGGCGACGAUCCGUAGCUGGUCUGAGAGGAUGAUCAGCCACACUGGAACUGAGACACGGUCCAGACUCCUACGGGAGGCAGCAGUGGGGAAUAUUGGACAAUGGGCGAAAGCCUGAUCCAGCCAUACCGCGUGGGUGAAGAAGGCCUUCGGGUUGUAAAGCCCUUUUGGUGGGGAAGAAGAGCAGCAGGUUAAUACCCCGCUGUUCUGACGGUACCCAAAGAAUAAGCACCGGCUAACUUCGUG
rnacentral:rRNA from 1 species